AAUAAAUCAAAAAAUGACAUUGUUAUCCUGACAAUUUGAGGAAAGUUUGGGUGAAGAGCAGCUUAGCUGUCAUGCCGUUUUACUAGAUUUGCAGGGAGCAUCAAAAUAAACACAGAUUCUACCUAGCAAGGACAUAAAUAGGAAUUACGCCGACGUCGAUCCACAAUUCUACUGCGGAUCCAACAAGAACUAACUUAAUGAAAGAAUAAUAUCAACACCUUUAGAAAAUAAAAACAUUCUUCAGAUUACCAACUAGAAAAAUAUCGUACGAAUUAAUGUCAUAUUUUUAUACAACUUAAUUGAUAUGAUAUUGGUCUAUUAUAACAACCUUGCAUGUUUGGGAUUAUUGUCAACAUAAUGUUUUGGAGGCACGGUGGUAAUUGAUUACAUGAUAUUUCAAAAUGUUGAUAUAUUAUCAUUGUUAUUUCUUAGUGUCAUUUUACAAAGAUUAGAAUUAUAUCUCAAAAAUUGUA
rnacentral:lncRNA from 1 species